CUUUUGUUGUACUUUUCUUGGCGGGUCACACCAUCGUGUAACAGGAUCCUCCCAGAGCUCAGGCUGAUUUGCAGAACAAUGCAGGAGGUGUAACACGUCCGCAUUGUUUUUUAACGACCUGAACAGGUGACUCGAGUGCCUCACUGAUCCAUAACAUGAUCCUCACAGUCCUGUAAGUUCUGAGGUGGGGUGGAUGUUUGAGAUCUGGGGAAUCUGGAGGCCAAGCCAACACCUCGAACUCGUCAUUGUGUUCCUCAAACUGUUCCUGAACCACGUUAGCUUUGUGGUGGGACGCAUUGUCCUGCUGAAAGAGGCCACUGCCAUCAGGGAAUACCGUUUCCAAGAAAGGGUUGGACACUCUCAGAGCAUCCAUACACAUGAACGGCAGUUUCCCAGCAGAAUGCUGCCUCCGCUCACUCGCCUUCUUCCCAUGAUGUAAAAGAAAACCAGGCUACCUUCUUCCAUCGCUCCGUGGUCCAGUUCUGAUGCUCACGUGUUCAUUGUUGGUGUUUUCGGCAGCGACUACACCGUCUCAAAUGUGUGUUUUCCUGAGACCUUUCUAUCAGAACAAGCAUGAACUUCUUCUGUUGGAUUGGACCAAACGGGCCAGCCGUCCAAAUUCAGCUUGGCUGUCCAUGAACUUCACUCUGGUUCACUGCGUUUCCUUCCUUGGACCACUUCCUGACCGGAAUACCCGACAACAGCUGCAGUUUCAGGGAUGUUCUGACCUCGUUGUCAAGCCAUCACAGUUUGGUUCAUGUCAAAGUCCGCGUCCAUUUUUGAGGACACGGUGUUCACUUGCUGCCUGAUACAUCCACCUCACCUGUCAGAGGUCUGAGUGUUGCAGCUGAUUGCUGUAAGUGUAUACAAGCGUCAUACGUAUGUAUGAUUUCCUCUGAGGAUCAAUAAAGACUCAUUUUCUCUUA